UUCGGAGGGCGCAACAGUUGAUCGGAAUCACGGGGCGUAAAGCGCGUGUAGGCGGCUUUGCAAGUCGGAUGUGAAAUGCCGAGGCUCAACCUCGGACCUGCACUCGAAACUGGCUGGCUCGAGUCCCGGAGAGGGUGGCGGAAUUCCCGGUGUAGGGGUGAAAUCCGUAGAUAUCGGGAGGAACACCAGUGGCGAAGGCGGCCUCCUGGACGGUGACUGACGCUGAGACGCGAAAGCGUGGGGAGCAAACAGG
rnacentral:rRNA from 1 species